UACAGGGGGUGCAAACGUUGCUCGGAAUUAUUGGGCGUAAAGGGCGCGUAGGCGGCUUGACAAGUCAAAGGUGAAAUCCCUCGGUUCAACUGAGGAACUGCCUUUGAAACUGUCUGGCUUGAGGCCGGGAGGGGGUAGCGGAAUUCCCAGUGUAGCGGUGAAAUGCGUAGAUAUUGGGAGGAACACCAGUGGCGAAGGCGGCUACCUGGACCGGUUCUGACGCUGAUGCGCGAAAGCGUGGGUAGCAAACAGG
rnacentral:rRNA from 1 species